rnacentral:lncRNA from 1 species
UAAGGAGUUCUGGAUGUUUUCAGUCCACGAGGCCAGCCAGGUGACUGUGUUGUCAAAGCGCACUUCCUUCCAUUUAUGCCCCACUGGUGGCUCAGGGAUCUUGGAGUCCUUGCUACAGUUGAUGAUCACAUCUUCUGGCAUAAUCCUCUUCUUCAGCAUGCCCAUUUUGGGGUGGUCACCACGUCCACGGAACAGCCCUGGAGGCUCAGUUUUGAAGUUGCCUAUUUUCUCCCUGUGCCCAUCAAGGAUGCAGUAUCCAUACUCCUCCUGGAUCUUAUCUGCCUCCUCCUUCAGUUUCUGCUUCUCCUCUUUGGAGAGUGCUUUCCGUGCCUCAUUUUUGUCCACAAAGUACUUAUGAAUCUCCCUAAAGUCACACUUGUCCAACUGCUUGAUUAUCUCUUGUUCCUGAGGGGUCAUCUCCUUUCUCCAGUCAUUAAAAAAGUUAUUCUGGAAGAUCUCUUUAGUCGUGUACUCGUGAUCAAGCAUUUUUGCAUAGAAAGUGGCAAUUUCCUCUGUGGCCAGGCUCAGCUUCAGGGGUUUACCAUCAUAAUAAAAUUGCACAUCAUCAGGCAGAGGCUCAUAGAGGGGGACAAAGUAGGGUCCUUUGUGCUCCAGUUGUUUCCACUUCACCCCAUCGUUUGUCUUCUCCUCUUCCCACCUGCUGCAGCCCCCUGACCCUGCACGGAGGGCAGUGGGGAUGAAUGGAGGGCGAGGGACCCCUCGGCCAAGCAGCAAGGUGGCCAAACACCGAUACAUGCCACCCACAACCCACAGCAGUGGUCACCCCCAGCAUCAUGUCCCAGCACCCUGUUACCCACUGGGGCACGCUGGCAUUGCCCAAAGCAUUGCCAUGAGAAGAAAACACCCGCUGUUGGUCGGGGUUGCGGCACUUCCCCCACGUGUUGGAGCAAUGAAGCCUUAUGGGAA